rnacentral:rRNA from 1 species
UCGAGAAUUUUUCACAAUGGGCGAAAGCCUGAUGGAGCGACGCCGCGUGGGGGAUGAAUGGCUUCGGCCCGUAAACCCCUGUCAUUCGCGAUCAAACCUCGCUAUUUAAAAGAUGGCGAGCUGAUAGUAGCGGAAGAGGAAGGGACGGCUAACUCUGUGCCAGCAGCCGCGGUAAUACAGAGGUCCCAAGCGUUGUUCGGAUUCACUGGGCGUAAAGGGUGCGUAGGUGGUGAGGUAAGUCGGAUGUGAAAUCUCGGAGCUCAACUCCGAAAUGGCAUUGGAAACUGCCUUGCUAGAGGGUUGGAGGGGGGACUGGAAUGCUCGGUGUAGCAGUGAAAUGCGUAGAUAUUGAGAGGAACACCGGUGGCGAAGGCGAGUCCCUGGACAACUCCUGACACUGAGGCACGAAAGCUAGGGGAGCAAACA